GACUCUGUUUGCCGGCGGCCCUGGGGCUGCUCCGGCGGGGGCGGGGGCGAGAGCCAGCGAUCACACGCCCCCUUCCCUAGUGCUUCCUGGGCAAACCCGCACGACGGGGGCGGGGUGGGCUGGGAGGGGGACGCACUACAAAACCGAGGGCUCCAAACAGCAAGGGGGCACAAGGGAAGGCGAGGAUCAAGGGCCUAAUCCGCAUCUCGUUUUGGGUACUCCCAUUUGGAUGACCCAACUCUCAGACCACCCAGGGUCCCGGGGAGCACAGUAGGGUGCGGCUGCCAAACCUUCAUUCCCCCCACUUUUCUGGAGACUAGGGGAGCAAGUCUUUCCAGAUGAGUCACUACAAACCCCCCAAAAUCUAAUGGUACCUCCUUGCAACCCAUGGCACCAACCCAACUCUGCGCACCCCUUACGAUUCCCCAGGGAGGAAAAAAAAGGAAAUUUUGCUUGCUUUUUCCGGUGCGCCCCAGCACUUGUGACAGGUCCCCUAUUUUAAAAACGGGGUCCCUCACUUUCGGUCCAACCUAUUCAUAAACAAAGCCAGGCGCACCUCGCUCUCCCCGCCGGAAAACAGCCCAUUCCGGGCGAGGACAACUUCCCCCAGUAAGAAAAUUAACACAUUCCUCUCGCGGCGGUUCAGCCCUGGCUCCAGGGAUGCGAAAGGGAGGGGGUUCGGGCGGGACUUCGAGGGUAAAUUCGGGGCCAGAGCAGCGUGGCACGAGCCUGGGAUGCCCGCCCCCUGCAGACCUGCAGCUGAGGAACAAACACCCCCCCCCCCCGCGUCCCCGGCUUUCACGCAGCUAGGCACACGCGGAGAGGCAGUCCGAGACUCCCCAAGGCCGAAAAGGACAGAAGAGAGGCCGCCUAGCCGGCGGAGGUGGAGUGAUCUGCGACCGAGCAUACUGCGGCUUGGGAAGGCUUCGGUAUAGGAGCGGCCACCGAGCGAUCACCGGAGCUAGGUCUCCCAGGCCCCGCGACUCAGGCUGCGGGCGUCCCCCGCCCC
rnacentral:lncRNA from 1 species